rnacentral:lncRNA from 10 species
UGCUUCAAGUGUUCAUUUAUCCUCACAACUCCUUUAGCAAUUAAUUAUGCCUUGUGAGCAUCUCUUCUAGUAUUGCCUUGGACAUCGCUUACUUUUCACUGUUUCCUUUUUACAUGUCCAGGUCUUCUCUCCCCAGCCAGAUGGUAAACACCUUGGAAAUGGGAACUAUGGAGUAUUAUGCAUCCUUCAUCCACAACUAUGAAUCCAG